AUGAAGAAACAGAACAAAGAAAACCUAACAUGGACAGCUAACAGGAAACAUGCACGCCUACUGCUACAUGCCAAGCUGUUGAAGAAAAAUGGGAAGAAUUUGUCACAGGAAGAGAAACUCAGAAUAAAAAACAUAAAUAAAACAAGGUUGAGCUCUCUUAGACUUGGCUUCCCCCCUGUACCAAUUAUGGACUGUCAACGGCCUGACUGUGAAGAUACAUACCACUUCUGGAAUCCUAUGACUCAUUAAACACAGCUUUUGAGGGAUUUUGUAAACAGUCCCACACAGCCAAUGAAGACCUGCCUGACAGCAAU
rnacentral:lncRNA from 1 species